GUGGGCCCUCGAAAUCCGUCGGCGGGGGAUUCAGUCGGGAGGUGUGGGCUCGUGCGCCGGUCGUUUCUUCGGACCCUUGAACGGGCCGGGCCAGCGUCGAGUCUCCACGCGACCCGACGCACUUCCUCCUGCCCCAAGGACGCCGCAGCCGGUUGGGUAGCUGCGCGAGUCGGCCAUAAGGACGGGCACCGGAAGGUGGCCAGUGGCGUUCCCCCGUGUUCGUCGCUGGUCGUUAUCCAGCCCGCCCGUGGCGCGACACCCGACCGAGGUCAAUUGGUCCCGGUUAGGACCUUGCCGUCCCCUCCCCAGUGGUCGAGCGGGCGCGCCGGCAGGCGAUUCCCCUUGCGGUCGUCCCACUCUCGAAGUGGCCGGCCCUCGGGUGGCGCCGUUGGCAGGGAUGCGUCCCGCGCGGGGAUGUCGGAAGGCUUGGGCGAGUAGGUCGGUCACCCACCCGACCCGUCUUGAAACACGGACCAAGGAGUCUAACAUGUGCGCGAGUCACGGGGUCUUGUUCAGGCCCAGAGGCGCAAUGAAAGUGAAGGCCGGCCUCGACGCCGGUCGUGUUGGGACUCUCCGCUUCGAUAGCGGGGAAGCACCAACGACCCGCCCUGUCCGAUUCAUCGGUUGGGCGGAGUGUGAGCGUACACGUUGGGACCCGAAAGAUGGUGAACUAUGCCUGGGCAGGACGAAGCCAGAGGAAACUCUGGUGGAGGUCCGUAGCGGUUCUGACGUGCAAAUCGAUCGUCAGACCUGGGUAU
rnacentral:rRNA from 1 species